AAGCGCUUGUGACCAGACUUGUGCCCGGCGGAUCAACCAGCGUUCUCGCUGGUGCACUCAGCGGCGUUCAGGCCAGCAUCGGUUUUGGUGGGCGGAUAAAGGCCUUGGGAAUGUAGCUUCUUUCGGGGAGUGUUAUAGCCCUCGGUGCAAUGCGCCCUAUCGGGACCGAGGACCGCGCUUCGGCUAGGAUGCUGGCGUAAUGGU
rnacentral:rRNA from 1 species